CUUACUUGCUCCACUUGCUUCAGAGAGAGAAGUGCGGGUUUGCGGUUUAGUGAAGGAGCAAGGCUCAUGUGAAUAGAAGAAUCCAAGGUAGAGCAGGAAGAGAAAUCCAGCUAGAGAAAGAGGUGGAAGUCAAAAUAAGUAGACUCUUAUUUUAAAUUUUUAAUGGCUUCUUGGUGGCUUCAAGAUAAAAGAUAGACAAUGAGGAGCUUUGUGUUUGGGAAAAGAAUAAAAGUCAACUGUAGCAAAACCUCUCAGAAGUAGGAUUUAUAAACAGUUCUCAAAGGAUGCACAUGAAAAUGUAAUUUCUUGGGAAAGUGGCAAACAGAAAAGAAUCAAACCGCAGUUGUGUGUGGCAAGGAUAAAUAUGCAACGCACCAUCAAUAGGAUUUGUUGGGUGAAUAAAAAAGCCUUUUAGCCAACAAUAUGUAAGCAGAAGAAUGGAGCAGGAGUUAGAGAGAACCCUCAAGCAAUAAUGGAGGCCACUGGAGAGGCAAGACUGCCAAAGGCUAAGUUAUUGACCCAGUAUUUUUAAAACUGCCUCCGAAAAGAAGCCUGAACGAAAGAAAAUAAUUUGUGCUAUUAGAAUGUAUUUUUCCUUUGUGUUCCUAUCUACUUCCUUCACAAGCUAUUUUUGGAGCAUUUGGCCAGAGUGAUCUUUCUGAAAUGGAAGACUCAUGUAUUGUUCCUGUGAGUCAGAUGGGAAGCUGAUGGAAAGUCUUCAGCAGAGAAAAAUCCAAAGUGACUGCAAUGAUUUACGUGACUCUACAGAUCCUGGCCCCUGAGGGAAAUAUAAGUCAGCCACCAAGACAAUUUGCCAAUGCUUCAGAACAUGAACUUUCUGAGAGGUGUUCUGGAGGCUCUGGGAUCUUUGUCUUUUCCUGUGUUGUUUGCUGAAAUCUGGAGGGCUCAGGAUUCUGGGUUGAUUUUUCUGAGAACAAAAUAAAUAUCCACAGUGAGUCACAAAUGUAAAUGUAUUGAGUGCCCAAUGUAUGGAGCCCUUUCUCCAAGACCUCACUGCCGUAAAUACAAAUAUAACUGAGAACUGGUGAUUUGAAGAUGAUUCUUGGGAUAGCGGGCUAGGCGGCACUUCACACUGGCUUUUGGGGCCACAUAGGGAUGACAGGAUGGAGUCUCCAGCUGUGAAAGUGUUGCUGCAGACAGCCCUCAGCUUCCAGUUCUUGUAAAAAUGGCCUCAGCUUCAGAGAGCUCCAUUACCCAAGCUCAUUCAUUUCCUGGGGUGUUCUGCAUCCAGUGAGUGUUCUGUGGACUUGCCAGGGGCAAGAACACUAAGAUUGAAAAUCACAGUGAAGGGCUCAGUGUUUCCCGGCAAGACCAAGCCAG
rnacentral:lncRNA from 10 species